rnacentral:rRNA from 1 species
AGUUGAGCGAUUUACUUCGGUAAGAGCGGCGGACGGGUGAGUAACGCGUGGGUAACCUACCCUGUACACACGGAUAACAUACCGAAAGGUAUGCUAAUACGGGAUAAUAUAUUUGAGAGGCAUCUCUUGAAUAUCAAAGGUGAGCCAGUACAGGAUGGACCCGCGUCUGAUUAGCUAGUUGGUAAGGUAACGGCUUACCAAGGCGACGAUCAGUAGCCGACCUGAGAGGGUGAUCGGCCACAUUGGAACUGAGACACGGUCCAAACUCCUACGGGAGGCAGCAGUGGGGAAUAUUGCACAAUGGGCGAAAGCCUGAUGCAGCAACGCCGCGUGAGUGAUGAAGGCCUUCGGGUCGUAAAACUCUGUCCCCAAGGAAGAUAAUGACGGUACUUGAGGAGGAAGCCCCGGCUAACUACGUGCCAGCAGCCGCGGUAAUACGUAGGGGGCUAGCGUUAUCCGGAUUUACUGGGCGUAAAGGGUGCGUAGGCGGUCUUUCAAGUCAGGAGUGAAAGGCUACGGCUCAACCGUAGUAAGCUCUUGAAACUGGGAGACUUGAGUGCAGGAGAGGAGAGUGGAAUUCCUAGUGUAGCGGUGAAAUGCGUAGAUAUUAGGAGGAACACCAGUUGCGAAGGCGGCUCUCUGGACUGU